UCCCUGGUGGUCUAGUGGUUAGGACUCAGAGCUUUCACUGCCAAUGCCCAGGUUCAAUCCCUGGUCGGGAAA
rnacentral:tRNA from 1 species